rnacentral:rRNA from 1 species
GACGAACGCUGGCGGCGUGCUUAACACAUGCAAGUCGAACGAGAAGAGAUGAGAAGCUUGCUUCUUAUCAAUUCGAGUGGCAAACGGGUGAGUAACGCGUAAGCAACCUGCCCUUCAGAUGGGGACAACAGCUGGAAACGGCUGCUAAUACCGAAUACGUUCUCUUUAUCGCAUGGUAGAGGGAAGAAAGGGAGGCUCUUCGGAGCUUUCGCUGGAGGAGGGGCUUGCGUCUGAUUAGCUAGUUGGAGGGGUUAACGGCCCGACCAAGGCGACGAUCAGUAGCCGGUCUGAGAGGAUGAACGGCCACAUUGGACUGAGACACGGCCCAGACUCCUACGGAGGCAGCAGUGGGGAAUCUUCCGCAAUGGACGAAAGUCUGACGGAGCAACGCCGCGUGAACGAUGACGCCUCGGUGUAAGUCUG